rnacentral:lncRNA from 1 species
CACCUUCUACCCCGCAUAAAAUUAUACAUAGAUUUCCUCAUAAGUUAUGUGAGUAUUAGCUAUGUAGAAUUACAAAAAUGCAACCAAACACCACAUAAAUCAAUACAUGAAUAAUUUUUAUACAACAUUUGGAGACACACCAACCAAACAUUGUAUAAAAUUUAUACAUGAAUAAUUUUGAUUCUAUUUACAAACCAAACAUGGUAUAAAAUUAAUACAUGAAUAACUAAGUUAUUCGUGUAUUAACUUUG